AUUGCCCUAGUAACGGCGAGUGAAGCGGCAACAGCUCAAAUUUGAAAUCUGGCCCUCGGGUCCGAGUUGUAAUUUGUAGAGGAUGCUUUUGGUGCGGUACCUUCCGAGUUCCCUGGAACGGGACGCCAUAGAGGGUGAGAGCCCCGUCUGGUUGGAUACCAAUCCUCUGUAAAGCUCCUUCGACGAGUCGAGUAGUUUGGGAAUGCUGCUCUAAAUGGGAGGUAUAUGUCUUCUAAAGCUAAAUAUUGGCCAGAGACCGAUAGCGCACAAGUAGAGUGAUCGAAAGAUGAAAAGCACUUUGAAAAGAGAGUUAAAAAGUACGUGAAAUUGUUGAAAGGGAAGCGCUUAUGACCAGACUUGGGCUUGGUUGAUCAUCCUGGGUUCUCCCUGGUGCACUCUUCCAGUUCAGGCCAGCAUCAGUUUGCUUCGGGGGAUAAAGGCUUCGGGAAUGUGGCUCCUCCGGGAGUGUUAUAGCCCGUUGUGUAAUACCCUGGAGCAGACUGAGGUUCGCGCAUCUGCAAGGAUGCUGGCGUAAUGGUCAUCAGCGACCCGUCUUGAAACACGGACCAAGGAGUCGUCUUCGUAUGCGAGUGUUCGGGUGUUAAACCCCUACGCGUAAUGAAAGUGAACGCAGGUGAGAGCUUCGGCGCAUCAUCGACCGAUCCUGAUGUUCUCGGAUGGAUUUGAGUAAGAGCAUACGGGGCCGGACCCGAAAGAAGGUGAACUAUGCCUGUAUAGGGUGAAGCCAGAGGAAACUCUGGUGGAGGCUCGCAGCGGUUCUGACGUGCAAAUCGAUCGUCAAAUAUGGGCAUGGGGGCGAAAGACUAAU
rnacentral:rRNA from 1 species